rnacentral:rRNA from 1 species
GGGAUAACUACUGGAAACGGUAGCUAAUACCGCAUAACGUCGCAAGACCAAAGAGGGGGACCUUCGGGCCUCUUGCCAUCGGAUGUGCCCAGAUGGGAUUAGCUAGUAGGUGGGGUAACGGCUCACCAAGGCGACGAUCCCUAGCUGGUCUGAGAGGAUGACCAGCCACACUGGAACUGAGACACGGUCCAGACUCCUACGGGAGGCAGCAGUGGGGAAUAUUGCACAAUGGGCG